AUAUUGCCUGAGACAGGGGAGAUACUAUGAUCACGAAGGUGGUUUUCUGAGGGUGAGGCUUAUCCCUUGCACUCUGGAUGUGCUGACCCCCGCUAUUUCUCCAAAUGUGGGAAACUCGACUGCAUGAUUUGUGGUAGUAGAGGACUGUG
rnacentral:snRNA from 1 species